GUGCUCGCUUCAGCAGCACAUAUACUAAAAUUGGAACAAUCCAGAGAAGAUUAGCAUGGUCCCUGGGCAAGGAUGACACGCAAAUUGGUGAAGCGUUCCAUAUUUAA
rnacentral:snRNA from 1 species